AGCAGCAUGGCGCAGAUGGAAGCGCGCGGGGCCCAUACCGGUUUACGUAAUUAAGCGUAAUCAGAUACCCCGAGGUCACUCGAUCGAAACGAGUUGCUGCUA